rnacentral:rRNA from 1 species
CGCAUCUGUGCAUGCAGCAUAUCAAUAAGCGGAGGAAAAGAAACUAACAAGGAUUCCCCUAGUAACGGCGAGUGAAGCGGGAAGAGCUCAAAUUUGAAAUCUUAAAGGGUUUCCCUUUACGAAUUGUAGUUUAAAGAAGUGUUUUCUGUUGAGGUUUUGGUAAAAGUUCUUUGGAAUAGGACAUCAUAGAGGGUGAGAAUCCCGUAUUUGACCUUUACUUUCAACUUUGUGAUACACUUUCAAAGAGUCGGAUUGUUUGGGAAUGCAGUCCAAAAUGGGUGGUAAAUUUCAUCUAAAGCUAAAUAUUGGCGAGAGACCGAUAGCGAACAAGUACCGUGAGGGAAAGAUGAAAAGAACUUUGAAAAGAGAGUUAAACAGUACGUGAAAUUGUCAAAAGGGAAGCGUUUGACACCAGUGUUGUUUUUCUGAAAAUCAAUUAAAGAACUGUUUAUGCUAAGCUGUUUAGACUUUAUCAGCUAACUGUUUAGUUUUGAGCUUUUCUUUAAUGCACUUUUCAGUUAACAAGUCAACAUCAAUUUCUUUUGCUGUAAAAAAGCUUGAGGAAGGUGGCUUGAGAUUCGUCUUAAGUGUUUAUAGCCUCUUGCCUAUGCAGUCGGAGAGAUAGAGGUCUGCAGCGUAGAUCCUUCGGGGCUAAAUGCAUUUGUGCUAAGUUAUAGCAUUUUAUAGACAACUUGUUGACUAUGAUUUGUCUUGUAGCUUACUCGCUUAUGUUAUUUUACCUACGCUUAGGAUGUUGAGCGCAUGUCUCUCUCU